rnacentral:rRNA from 1 species
CCCUGCCCUUUGUACACACCGCCCGUCGCUACUACCGAUUGAAUGGCUUAGUGAGACCCUCGGAUCGAUGAACGGAAGCCUUAACCGGCAUCCGUACGUUGAGAAGUUGGUCAAACUUGGUCAUUUAGAGG